UACGAAGGGGGCUAGCGUUGCUCGGAAUCACUGGGCGUAAAGCGCACGUAGGCGGCUUGUUAAGUCAGGGGUGAAAUCCUGGAGCUCAACUCCAGAACUGCCUUUGAUACUGGCGAGCUCGAGUCCGGGAGAGGUGAGUGGAACUGCGAGUGUAGAGGUGAAAUUCGUAGAUAUUCGCAAGAACACCAGUGGCGAAGGCGGCUCACUGGCCCGGUACUGACGCUGAGGCACGAAAGCGUGGGGAGCAAACAGG
rnacentral:rRNA from 1 species